UUGUCUGCGACAAAGAAUUAUUUGCAUCCAUAAGGGAGAAGACAAAUGUCAUUCUUGUUGUGGAACGGGCAGAGUACAAGGGAAAAGAGAAAAUAUAGAUCCACCUCCCACCUCUCACUCAGGCCAUGGAACCACUAAAUAGGAAAAGACGAACUUAACGCAGACCGGAAAAAUGACACGAGAUGAGCUGCCGCCCUCUCCAUACCACACAGUGUACUUUCAUAAAGCCUCACGGCUCCACAAGAAAGUCUUUGUGAAGGGUUGUCCAUUUGCCAAAAACACCUCCUCUGCCUGUAUUUCAGCAAAGGGCAGAAAGCUCUGUACUGUGUCUCCUAAAAAGCAUGGAGUCCUAGCACUUCAGAGGAUUAUGACUGCGCCUGAGUCUCCCCCUGCCUCAAGGAGACACAGGGUGGCUGAGAGAGACUGAGCCGGCAGGUGCAAAGGACCACUCCACAUGGGGCAGCAGGAGGCCAGAGCACAAGGCAUGAUGGACCCUUCACCUGGGGCCCAGGAGAGAUGCUGUUUCAGCUCAGGUGAGGCCACCAGGAAUGGUGAGGACCCAACUGGACAUGGCAUAUCCGCCCAAGUCAGCAGGGAGAAUGCUGACUGUCAGAGAAUACUGGGAAGAUGAACAUG
rnacentral:lncRNA from 1 species